AUGCUGAGGGAUCUGGAGAUGGUACUCAACAACAUAGAAAUCGAGUUACUGAAGGGGACCGAGACGGAUUCCAUCAAGGAGCCGGAGAUUGAGAGGGAUUCUGAUUCCGAGUCUGGCGAUGAGAGAGGCGCAGAUUGGUGGGCGUCCCUCAUAAGUAUGGAGCCCCAACCCCAAUUGGGACUCAGCAAGGGGACGGUGAGGGAUUCCAGCAAGGAGCCGGCCAUGGAGAGGGAUGAGAUGAAGGAGACGUUUUCAAGGAAGCACCAAACCCUGGUAAAGGAGCUCAUCUCCGCGGAGAGGGAGCGCAAAGACUUGCUUCUCUCCAUUACACCCACGUUUUCUCUCUGGAAACAAGUGGAUUCUCAAAAAACAUGGCGGAGACAGCCAUGCCCUGCAGCUAGGGAUGAUGGGGAACAAGACCUUGCAGACUACCUCAACUCAAUGCUCCAAGCCAUGGAGGACGUGGGCCAUCGGAUGCUAUCUAUGUUGGAUUUUCUCAACAAAUCUGAUUCUCCAGGGUCCAUCUGCUUGUACAAGGCCAGCGAGCUGCACAGUACAGCUGCCAGAUUAGACAUGCUCAUCUCCAAGGAAUUCAAUACGGACCAGCACCCGGAGACGAUGCAGGUGCAAGAGGAGGAGGAUCUUUCCUUCGACUUGUUGAGUCUUUUCACCAAGUAUUCUCAGUUUCCAAAUAAUUACCACAACACAUUGUCCCAGUUAGUUAUGGAGGAGUAUGAGGAGAAAAAGUAUGAGGUCGCGAAGGUUGAAGAGGAGGAGCAGGACAAGGACGAAUCCACAAUGGAGUAUCUCAAGGAAAGGAUGGACAUCGAGCAACAAUUUCUCGCCUAUGACCGGACAUACUGGGAAGACGUGUGGGGCAGCAGGAUCGGACGUUGCGGUAGAUUUAUGGAUACAACCAUAUUGAGCCCUAUGCAAUUUACACACUACACACCUGGUGGCAUCCAUUCCCCUGCUGCUGUCGCCGGUACUACUCUGCAGAUCUAUUCAGUCAAGAUAAAGGAUUUAAGAGGCUUGAACUGGCCACUCAGAGUGUACGGUGUGAUUGCUGCUCGAGACACUGUGGAUCACAACCGCAACAUUUUAUUCUCUCGGUCAGAGUUUAACUACCAAGAACUCAAUGAACAAGAUCCUUACUUAUGCUUGACUGGUCCGUCUCGUGCCAUUGUUGUUUUGGGACAUAUUGACUUUGAAGUUGAACUUCAAGUAACCGAUGGAGCGCAGUCCCAAACAUUGAUCAGCUGUAGAGAGCGUUACGGCAGUACAGAUGCUUUUUUCUCUUCCUUGGCCAGCGUCACUGAUGGUGGUGAUGGACGGACCUUUUUGCUCUCCAACCAGAGCUGUACAACUGAGGUAACCCUUGGCCAGCUUGAUAGAUCACUCCAAGCUACCAUCAUGGGUGUACGUGUUACCGAAGGGCCUUGGCCUUUUAAGUAUGGAUGCCGAGUUGUUUGCUCGUGGUCUUCUGCUGCUCCGAUAUGUUCCAACGACACCACUUGUAGGCAAGUUGUGCUGUUUGAUCACCGUGGUAAAGGAAUGCGUAGAGGAUCAGAUGGGUACCUUCAUUUGUCAAGGAAAGUGAUUUCCAUAGAAUCAUAUGGGACACUGAGAGUGAGCAUUGAAUCUUAUGGCAAGUCUGGCCGCCAUAUUGCUCGGAAGGAUAGUAUUCACUUUCCUGUUCAGAAGUGUCAAACAAAGACGCUUACUUGUCCAGUUGGUGAUGGUGGCGCCACCGUGGAGGUUACAGUUGCUUGGUCGUUGCUUGUGAAGGAAAAGGUGUAUCUCUCACUCGUUGAUUGUCCUAUGUAA
rnacentral:rRNA from 1 species